rnacentral:rRNA from 1 species
AUGGCGCGGGUGAGAGCUUGGGGUACACCGCGGAGUUCUGCCUCAACCCGAUGUGCUUGCGGGAUAAGGAUCUCUGGCUUAUGCAGUGCCCAUAGAUAUGCAACUGGGCGGUUGAGUUUCAUUUUCCGCAUCGCGUGUAUCGUCAGUUUGGUCUUUUCCAGCCUCACCCGCCGGAUUGGGUGGACACGGAUAAAGCACUUCAUAGGUUGGACAGGAGAAGGCAACGGAAGAUAA